rnacentral:tRNA from 1 species
GCCGCGAUGGCUCAGUGAUAGAGCGUAUCACUAGUGCUCCUCGUACAACAGACAUGAUAAGGUCCAGGGUUCAAUCCCUUGACGUGGCA